rnacentral:rRNA from 1 species
AUUGAACGCUGGCGGCAUGCCUAACACAUGCAAGUCGAACGAGUGGCGGACGGGUGAGUAAUGUCUGGGAAACUGCCUGAUGGAGGGGGAUAACUACUGGCAACGGUAGCUAAUACCUCCUACCAUCAGAUGUGCCCAGAUGGGAUUAGCUUGUUGGUGGGUUAACGGCUCACCAAGGCGACGAUCCCUAGCUGGUCUGAGAGGAUGACCAGAAACACUGUAACGGAGAGACGGUCCAGAGUGCAACGGGAGGCAGCGGUGGGGAAUAUUGGACAAUGGGCGAAAGCCUGAUGAAGCCAUGCCGAGUGUAUGAAGAAGGCUUUCGGGUUGUAAAGUACUUUCAGCGGGGAGGCGUUACCCGCAGAAGAAGCACCGGCUAACUCCGUGCCAGCCGCCGCGGUAAUUC